rnacentral:misc_RNA from 1 species
UUUCCGUAGGUGAACCUGCGGAAGGAUCAUUAUUGAAUAAACCUGAUGUGGUUGUAGCUGGCCCUUUCGGGAGCAUGUGCACACCCGUCGUCUUUAUCUUUCCACCUGUGCACCUUUUGUAGACCUGGAUGUAACACUUUCCGAGGCAACUCGGUCGGGAGGAAUGCUGUCAGCUUUCCUUGAAUGUCCAGGCCUAUGUUUUCAUAUACCCCAAAGAAUGUAACAGAGUGUAUUACUGGGCCUUGUGCCUAUAAACUAUAUACAACUUUCAGCAACGGAUCUCUUGGCUCUC